rnacentral:misc_RNA from 1 species
ACCCCGCCGUCGCCGAAUGCUCGGUGGUCGGCCGCCCGCACCCGGAGUGGGGCGAGGAGGUGGUGGCCUUCGUCGUGCCGCGUCCCGGCGCCUCGCCGACGGCCGCCGAGCUCGACAAGCUCUGCCUCGACAACAUCGCCCGCUUCAAGCGCCCGAAGGACUACAAGUUCAUCGACGCGCUGCCCAAGAACAACUACGGCAAGAUCCUGAAGACCGAGCUGCGGACCAGGCUGUGACGAUUCCCUUGUGAGCUUUCGCUCCCCCGUCUUCGGGGGAGCUGUCGGCGUCUUCGCCGACUGAGGGGUCAUGAGCACCAGUCAUGUUACUCAUGACCCCCUCAGUCGCGGACUACCGCGACAGCUCCCCCGAAGACGGCCGAAGACGGGGGAGGUGAAGAAGGGCGCCCUACGACCCCUCGCCGGAGCGCUCCUCGGUGACGGGAUGGACCUCCUCGAGGCGGUCGGCGGCGUUGAACAGCAGCUCGAGGUGCUUCAGCGUCCGCUGCCCGCGCUUCGGACCGACGGUCACGUAUUCGUAGACGUACUGGCGCGUACCGCGCCGCGCCACGUGCGGAUAGAUGCCUUCGCCGCUGGGCGGCCCGAAAUGGUUCAGGACAUCGGUCCGGGUGGUCCUGCCUCGCGUCAGGGCGGAGACGCGCGUCUCGUCGAAGUUGGUGGCGUCCUCCGGGAAGCUGCUUGUGAAGUGGUAGAAAACCAGCCGUUCGUUCCAGAAGGCGAGCUUCAGCAAGCGCAGCCCGCCGAUCGUCCGGUCGGGGAGCACGAUCAUCGUGGCGUAUGUGUAGGCGUAGCGCAGCUGCUCGAAGUCGCCGGGCGCCGUCGCCCGCUUGAGCAACGCCGGGCGCGGCUUCAGCUCGUCGAACACGGUGACCGUCUCGACGUUGGCGGACUCGGUCCAGCGUUCGGUCGGCUCGCCGAAAGCGGCAACCGCUUCGGCGAGAGUCGUCUGUCCGAGCACGAGCGAAGCCGAGCCCCGGU